GUUCACUUCAGACAGAAAACCCUAGAAUUUCUUUUUGAAGAUGAUGAGGACGAAGGAUGAAUAAGUCAUGAUCAACAUAGGCAAAGUCACACUUCUAAACGUUAGCAACAAUGGAAUCGGUCCAUAAAAAGCGUUUCAGGUCUCGAAGGCGGUCUGAAGUGGUUACGUGAUCGGAAAUGAGAAUUCGCUUACAAUUCUGUUUUGCCAUUUUCCCAUCCAUUUAAGUAGUUACUGCAUUGUGUGCCCAUUUCUUUUGAAACUGCAGGAGACAAGAUAAUAUUACUUGGUACAGAAUCAGAUCCAGUUCACACUACAGAAAAUUCAGUGCUACUCCUAGUUAGUCUACAACUACUAUCUGUGAAGUAAACAUCUUGUGUGAACACUACUACCAUUUUUUAUGAUCAAUAAGGCGAAUGGGAUUCAAUGUUUUAGGGAGCAGUGGUGGUCGAUGGCAUUCAUAAAGGGUGAUUCUCUUCAGGUGUUGGUCGUAGGGAGGGAUUUAUUAGUAGUUUCAGGGAGCAGUGGCGGCAGAAUCUUCGAUUGGCGGUAGUGGUGGCGGGACUAAUGGCUGACUACCUCGGAUAAUAGUUGCCAUCACUGGUCUUGUCUUGGUUGCCCUGUGUACACUGAUACACUCUCUUAGAGGACAUCUUAGAUCACCAUGGUCAUAGAGGAUAAGAAAACAACCCUUUCGCCUCAACGGUGGAAAAUCCAUUUGACCCAGAUGGAAACUCUGUGAUGGUGAAGUCAAGUUCUUGAAAAAAAGGGUAUUGCUCCACAGAUAAGAGCUGAACUCUGGCCAUUUGUUCUUGAAGUAAAACAGUUUGAGAAGUGGAGGAAACAGUGCAAACGUGCAUCUUUUCAAGCGCAUUGGUAUGAGCGUGGUCAAGUCAACCGGUUGGAGCGGCGGUACCGCAACGGUACCGACAACAAUGGGGACAGUGAGUGUUGUCGAAGAUCCAGAUUCAGCUGCUCCAAAGGAUGUGAUUGCGGAGGAGUCCUCCUCGGUUGUCAAAAGAGAGCCCAGAAUGUGAGGACUCUGAUGGUGAUCAGGUUCUCCUGAUUAAUUUUCCUCAGUGCGCCAACUUAACAAGACAAGAAGGAGAGUGGAAUCACAAGGGUGGAUGCUAUGUAGCUGUUACAUAAUCAUUUGACUCGGGUCUAUUGAAAAACCUGAGAGUCAGCAGACUUCUGCUACUGAAAGUAGUGAUGAAAAUGAUCCUGAUAAGCCCACUGUGACCCUCCAAAGCAUGCAGUCCGAAAUUCUGCAGAGAUGAAGACUUGGAGACAUGGCAGUGAAUCAUUUGAUUUGAUCUGUUGAGGAGGACCAACAGAGUGGAUUAUCUACUCUCCAACCCAGGCUGUUAUGUUGCAGACAGGGAGUACAGUGUAGUAGAGGCCGUGGGACUAUGACCAACUAGAACCCUGUAAAGUCUUUUCAUGCAGCACUCCCAAUGGCCAUGCCCGAAGCCUACGCAGUCUAACGGUGAUGAGAUGUUGGAUAUCGUCAGGGAAUGAGUGACCUUUUUGAUCAGCUAUAGUUGCGGUGGUAGAGGAUUGUUAUUUGGCUUUCUUUUUUUUGGGCUUGGUGGGAUUCAAUGAAGAACAAUUUCAGGCUUGACCGAGUCUGAAUCGGAAAGCAGUUGCACACGGUUUUCAAGAUUAUCAAGUUCAAAGACUCUUCCUUGUCCACAGGCAUCCAGAGAAGAAGAUGCAGGUUGUUGAAGACUUUUGUUUGUUUGUCCGUUCACUGAGAACCUAUAGAAACUAUAUAACUAACCAACUGCAGUUCUGGUGCUGUCAUGGGUAUUACCAAAUCGAAACAGGCAAUGGGUCCAAAGCAAACAUAAUCCCCUUGAUAUACACUGAUUUUGUUUUUGGGCAAGCAAUAUGUGCACUGGCAGUGAUGGAGACCAGGCAGCUAUUCAUGGCUACGAUCGAAAGGAACUCAGCUUGGGGGAGAAUAACGCAAAAGCAGAGGACCUGUAGCUACAUGCAAUUGCAUGGCUUGUGUACUGCAGCAUAUAAAUGUAAGCUGCAGCAAGGAUAAAAUGAAACAAUAAUGAGAGAAUGUAUGUAAUCAUUCAUGUAUGUAUAUGAAACUACUGCUAAAUGAAUCCAUAUCUCGUUUACAAAGCUUGUAGGCCUUUUAUGCCAAGUCAAUAUUGUACAAAUUUUUUUUUUUUGUUUGGUUA